rnacentral:pre_miRNA from 1 species
UCUUAUGGAUGAGCAAAGAAAGUGGUUUCUUGAGAUGGAAUUUUAUUGGUGAAGAUGCUAUGAA